UCUCUUUCUUCUUGAAAAGGCAAGAAGGAAUAACAGCCUCGGAACUCGAAGAUUAUAGUGCCAUUGCCGGCUCAACGUCAUUGGUCGAAUCAAAUUCCUUUUCCCUACCGUUGCACCAGAUCAUCAGCCCCCCCACCACCUCCCCGAUUUCGAUGAGAAAAAAAAAAAAAAGUGUUGCAACCGUGUGCGUAUGUCUGUCUCGAUCUUCAGGGCACAGAAUCGCAGGUCCCAUAAACGAGUUUCGAAAAAUAAAGUUGACCCAGACGUCGCGACAGCCAAUCAAAUAACUUUGUGUAAAACGCGAGACCAAAUCAGAAAGCGACGUUGUCACGUGUAGGGUGGGGGCAACAACCACAUGAGUUGUUCCUCUCCCAGGCCUGGGGUCCCGCGCAAGACGUGUGGGGCCACGGACGCACGGAGAUGAAUUAGAACGGAAGCUUUGUUCUCACGUAAUGGCCGUACACGUGGAUUGAUCAUGACAUGAUGGUUAGUUGCGAGUGGACUUGUGGGGCGCAUUGGACAAAGUAACGUUUCGAAUAGGGUGAGGGUACACUGUGUCAGAUGCAUGCAAAAAGCUGUGUUCUUUUUUUCUCUUCUCUGUGCAUUGCACCC
rnacentral:lncRNA from 1 species